GAUGAACGCUGGCGGCGUGCCUAACACAUGCAAGUCGAACGGAGUCCAGCCUUUAAGACCUUCGGGUCAAAGGGGGGAAGCCUGAGUGGCGGACGGGUGAGUAACACGUGGGCAACCUGGCUCAUAGAGGGGGAUCACAGAUAGAAAUUUCUGCUAAUACCGCAUAAGCACACACUGCCGCAUGGCCGAGGGUGAAAAGAGAAUCGCUAUGAGAUGGACCCGCGUCUGAUUAGCCAGUUGGCAGGGUAAGAGCCUACCAAAGCGACGAUCAGUAGCCGAUCUGAGAGGAUGAACGGACACAUUGGGACUGAGAAACGGCACAAACUCCUACGGGAGGGAGCAGUGGGGGAUAUUGCACAAUGGCGGGAACCCUGAUGCAGCGACGCCGGGUGAGUGAAGAAGUAAUUCGGUAUGUAAAGCUCUAUCAGCAGGGAAGAUAAUGACAGUACCUGAACAAGAAGCCCCGGCUAACUACGUG
rnacentral:rRNA from 1 species